rnacentral:lncRNA from 1 species
AAGAUACUCAGCAUCGCCUCGUAUCUUCUUUUCCAGUGCCUAUAUGCUAUUGUAUAUAAUUUCAGUGAAAAUUUAUUCCUUUUAGGAUCACCACGGUGUAGAGAGCUUCAUUGCAACACAGCAUCCAAUGUCAAACACCAUGAGAGAUUUCUGGUCUUUGGUAUGGCAGCAUGACAUCUCAGUCAUUGUAAUGGUCAAUGAUAGCGAGAAGGACUUGG